GACGAACCGUGCGAACGUUAUUCGGAAUCACUGGGCUUAAAGCGCGUGUAGGCGGAUCGCCGCGUCGGCUGCUGAAAUCCCCCGGCUCAACCGGGGAACGGGCACCGAUACGGGCGGUCUCGAGGGGGGUAGGGGGGUCUGGAACUUCCGGUGGAGCGGUGAAAUGCGUUGAGAUCGGAAGGAACGCCCGUGGCGAAAGCGAGGCCCUGGACCCUUACUGACGCUCAUGCACGAAAGCGUGGGUAGCAAACAGG
rnacentral:rRNA from 1 species